rnacentral:rRNA from 1 species
UGCAGUCGAGCGAGGGUUUUCGGACCCUAGCGGCGGACGGGUGAGUAACACGUAGGCAACCUGCCUGUAAGACUGGGAUAACAUAGGGAAACUUAUGCUAAUACCGGAUAGAGUUUUGCUUCGCAUGAAGCGAAACGGAAAGAUGGCGCAAGCUAUCACUUGCAGAUGGGCCUGCGGCGCAUUAGCUAGUUGGUGAGGUAAAGGCUCACCAAGGCGACGAUGCGUAGCCGACCUGAGAGGGUGACCGGCCACACUGGGACUGAGACACGGCCCAGACUCCUACGGGAGGCAGCAGUAGGGAAUUUUCCACAAUGGACGAAAGUCUGAUGGAGCAACGCCGCGUGAACGAUGAAGGCUUUCGGGUCGUAAAGUUCUGUUGUUAGGGAAGAAACAGUGCUAUUUAAAUAAGGUGGCACCUUGACGGUACCUAACGAGAAAGCCACGGCUAACUACGUGCCAGCAGCCGCGGUAAUACGUAGGUGGCAAGCGUUGUCCGGAAUUAUUGGGCGUAAAGCGCGCGCAGGUGGCUAUGUAAGUCUGAUGUUAAAGCCCGGGGCUCAACCUCGGUUCGCAUUGGAAACUGCGUAGCUUGAGUGCAGG